AAUUGUUUGUUUGAAAUAAUUUUUUUAAAAUUAUUGAAUGUCUUUCCCUGUUGAAUUGGUUGUCUUUAAUGGCAAGUGAUUCGCAGGGGAGUGUCAAUAAUUUUUAAAAAGACCUUUUUUAAAUUAAACUUUUUGUAUUUAUUUGUCUAAAAAUUAUUUUAUAAUAUAAAAACAACUUUUGACAAUGGAUCUCUUGGUUCUCGCAACGAUGAAGAACGCAGCAAAAUGCGAUAAGUAGUGUGAAUUGCAGAAUACGUGAAUCAUCGAAUCUUCGAACGCAUAUUGCACUUUUUUAGUUUACUAAAAAAGUAUGUCUGUUUGAGUAUCAGUAAAUAUUCUCAUAAAAACUUUUUGUUUUUAUGGUUAUGAGUGUUUUACAACGAUACAAGUUGUUUCACUUUAAAUUUUUUAAAAUUUGAAUUUUUCUAAUUUUAAAAUAAAAUUGGAUAAAAUUUUCCCGUAAAAAGGAAUAACCUAAACAAUUUUAAUUUUGAUUAGAAUUCUUCAUUCUAAAGGAAAAUUUAACUAAAUAACUUGAUCUCAAAUCAGAUAAGAGUACCCGCUGAACUUAAGCAUAUCAAUAAGCGGAGGAAAAGAAACUAACAAGGAUUCCCUUAGUAACGGCGAGUGAAGCGGGAAGAGCUCAAAUUUGAAAUCUUCAAGGUUUUACCUUGACGAAUUGUAGUUUAAAGAAGUGUUUUCUGUCGAAGUUUUGGUAAAAGUUCUUUGGAAUAGGACAUCAUAGAGGGUGAGAAUCCCGUAUUUGACCAUUAUUUUCAGCUGUGUGAUACACUUUCAAAGUGACGGAUUGUUUGGGAAUGCAGUCCAAAAUGGGUGGUAAAUUUCAUCUAAAGCUAAAUAUUGGCGAGAGACCGAUAGCGAACAAGUACCGUGAGGGUAAGAUGAAAAGAACUUUGAAAAGAGAGUUAAACAGUACGUGAAAUUGUCAAAAGGGAAGCGUUUGACACCAGUGUUGUUUUCUCGAAAAUCAAUUAAAAAGAGUUGGAUUUUGUGUUGUAUUGACCUUAACAGCUUGCUUCACCCUUUUCCAGCUUUUUUUAAUGCACUUUUCGUUUAACGAGUCAACAUCAGUCUCUUUUGUUGUAAAAGGGUCAUUGGAAGGUGGCUUUCUCUUCGGAGAAAGUGUUUAUAGCCUUUGAUCUCUGCAAUCGGAGAGACUGAGGUCUGCAGCGUAGAUCCUUCGGGUUAGAUACAUUUGUGCUAAGCUACAGCUUUCAUAGACAACUUGUUGACUAUGUUUAGUCUU
rnacentral:misc_RNA from 1 species